UAGAUUGAAGUCCGCUGGAUUGGGCGCCUAGUUGUUAAUUAGGUUAGUUGCGGGAUCGAGGCCCGUCGAUCUAGU
rnacentral:tRNA from 1 species